rnacentral:rRNA from 1 species
GGACCCGCACAAGCGGUGGAGCAUGUGGUUUAAUUCGAUGCAACGCGAGGAACCUUACCAGGGCUUAAAUGUAGUGGGACAGGUCUAGAGAUAGACCCUUCUUCGGACUCAUUACAAGGUGCUGCAUGGUUGUCGUCAGCUCGUGCCGUGAGGUGUCAGGUUAAGUCCUAUAACGAGCGCAACCCCUAUCGUUAGUUGCCAGCGAGUAAUGUCGGGAACUCUAACGAAACUGCCAGUGCAAACUGUGAGGAAGGUGGGGAUGACGUCAAAUCAUCACGGCCCUUACGUCCUGGCUACACACGUGCUACAAUGGCCGGUACAGAGGGCAGCCACACCGCAAGGUGGAGCG